ACUCCUGCGGGAGGCAGCAGUGGGGAAUAUUGCACACUGGGCGCAAGCCUGAUGCAGCCAUGCCGCGUGUAUGAAGAAGGCCUUCGGGUUGUAAAGUACUUUCAGCGGGGAGGAAGGCGAUAAGGUUAAUAACCUUGUCGAUUGACGUUACCCGCAGAAGAAGCACCGGCUAACUCCGUGCCAGCAGCCGCGGUAAUACGGAGGGUGCAAGCGUUAAUCGGAAUUACUGGGCGUAAAGCGCACGCAGGCGGUCUGUCAAGUCGGAUGUGAAAUCCCCGGGCUCAACCUGGGAACUGCAUUCGAAACUGGCAGGCUAGAGUCUUGUAGAGGGGGGUAGAAUUCCAGGUGUAGCGGUGAAAUGCGUAGAGAUCUGGAGGAAUACCGGUGGCGAAGGCGGCCCCCUGGACAAAGACUGACGCUCAGGUGCGAAAGCGUGGGGAGCAAACAGGAUUAGAAACCCUAGUAGUCCC
rnacentral:rRNA from 1 species